rnacentral:tRNA from 1 species
GGGGACGUAACUCAGUUGGGAGAGUGUCACAAUGGCAUUGUGAAAGUCGUGAGUUCGAGUCUCAUCGUCUCCACCA